rnacentral:rRNA from 1 species
AACGUAGGGGGCUAGCGUUGCCCGGAUUCACUGGGCGUAAAGAGUGUGUAGGCGGUGCUCCCAGUCUGUUGUGAAAUCUCCCGGCUUAACUGGGAGGGUGCAGCGGAAACUAGAGUGCUAGAGGGUGGGAGAGGUAAGCGGAAUUCCUGGUGUAGCGGUGAAAUGCGUAGAUAUCAGGAGGAACACCUGCGGUGUAGACGGCUUACUGGACCAUAACUGACGCUGAGGCACGAAAGCGUGGGUAGCAAACAGG